UGUGUAGGCGGAUUCAUAAGUCAGGUGUGAAAUCCCCGAGCUUAACUUGGGAACUGCGCUUGAAACUGUGAGUCUAGAGCAUGUCAGAGGUAAGCGGAAUUCCCGGAGUAGCGGUGAAAUGCGUAGAUAUCGGGAAGAACACCAGUGGCGAAGGCGGCUUACUGGGACAUAGCUGACGCUGAGGCACGAAAGCGUGGGGAGCGAACG
rnacentral:rRNA from 1 species